rnacentral:rRNA from 1 species
UACGUAGGGUGCAAGCGUUAAUCGGAAUUACUGGGCGUAAAGGGUGCGUAGGCGGUUGUUUAAGUCUGUCGUGAAAUUCCCGGGCUCAACCUGGGAAUGGCGAUGGAUACUGGGCAGCUAGAGUGUGUCAGAGGAUGGUGGAAUUCCCGGUGUAGCGGUGAAAUGCGUAGAGAUCGGGAGGAACAUCAGUGGCGAAGGCGGCCAUCUGGGACAACACUGACGCUGAAGCACGAAAGCGUGGGGAGCAAACAGG